AACACAGGUCCAAGAAGGCCCAGCCUUUCCACCAGUCGAGCUCAAUCACGCCUCCUUCAAGCAACACAAUAAAGGGUGAUGUCAACAUGUUCGUGGCUUCAGUGUUCCACCAGUCACAUAACUCAUCUAGGCGCUGGUCGGGGACCACUUCCCGAGCACCUCGAAGCAGCAGUGCCCACCGAGGCCUAGAUCCACGCCGAAGGCUACAGCCGAGGUCCCAUACCAAUUCACCAUGGCCGAGGAGCGUCGGGAAAUCUGUGGACAGCGCUCGGGGAGGAGACAAAAGACACUCACACGUAGUGACACAAUCUUGAUUUUAAAGAAACAAAUAAAAAGAAAUCACCCACACAAAUUGUACUGGUAUAGAGGGUCCUUCAAUCACUGUGAUUUCAUUUAAAAGUACAAAUAAAGAGAAACACAGAGUGAAA
rnacentral:lncRNA from 1 species